UAUUUUCAUGUCAUAUAGCACCUACAUAUCACAAGAAUAACAAUGUUAAAUUACUUGUAACUUCCAUGUUAUAUUGUCGCUAUAAAAUGUGUUCACUGGGCUGUGUAAUUAAUAACAUUUACAAUCAGAACUCUUUGGAAAAUGAUUAAAUGCAACCGUUCAGAUGUGCUGCUAGCCGUAGAGGGCCAUAAAGAAAAUGUGGCUGCGCAUGAGAAACUGUAUAGCGGUUAUCUAAAAUAAAAAAAAAAUUUCUCUUAAUCAUUUUAAAUACUUUAGUAUAUGCAGAAUAAAAACCUUAAAAGAGAUUUUUUAUUUUAUUUAUUUUUCAUGAUAAAAAAAUUGUUAAAUAUCAGACUUUUCUUUGAUUUCUACAAUAGUUUUACUUCUUAAUAUAUAUAACUUUUUAUUGAUUUAAUUGAACAUUAAAUGUUUUCAUAUUUUUGUACACAUGUGUAUUUUAUUUAUAAAAAUAAAUACAAGUUGGUUUCCUUUGCUGGAACAUUUUCUAUGUACAAUUCCAUUCACACACAUAUUUUCUCCACACAUAACCCAUGAACGCAAAUCUAUAUAUCGACAUAUUGAAAAAUGUAUCUCGAUUUUUUAUUUUCCAACAAAUUAAUACUUUAAAAAGUAUGAAUAAAAUUUCAAUGAUGUCAAACCUAUAUCAUAUCCCAAAGACUUUUUCAUGCUUUUAGAUUUUCUGUAUAAUUUCUGUAUAGAUUUUGCAGAAAAAAAGAUGUUCAAAAUUACCAUAAACAUCUUUUUUGUCCACUUUAAUUCAUUAAAAAUCUAGUAUGCUACACAAAUUUAAGAAUGGCAUUGUGUUUAGUGUAAAAUAAAUCUUUGGGACACACACAUACACACGAUAGCACUUCAAAGAGACAAAAUAAUUUUUUUAUUAAACUGUAUUAUAUAUCAAUAAACAAUACCUCAAAAUACUUUUCAACAUAAAAAAUAGAGUAUACAAUUUUCAUACUUAAUAAUAAGAGUGAUUUCUAGGAAUGUAAUCGAAUUUAAGUAGUUAACAAAAUAAAGAUAGAAGCUAUUAAGUGCCUAGCGCAAGUAUUAGUACGUAAAUUAAAAUAUCAAAUAUUUUUUAAUGACCCGGAUCUAUUAUAUCGUACAUAUAAUGUAUAUACAUUAUAUAUUCAUGUUAUCUAUGAUUAUAUAUUUCAGUUCUAUGUUGAACUACUUUUUAGACCGUAAAAUAUUAAAAAUGAUAAAAAAUAUCAGAAAUAAUCCUUGGCAAGUCAUCCCAUAGUGUUUAUCAGAACUACAUACUUCAGAUAAUAAAUUAGACUGUUUUGUCAUAAAAUAAAAUUCUAAUCAAUAAAACUGUCAGUGUAUAAAAAUUGAGUAAUUCAAAAUAAAGUAUUUAGUAAAUCAGUAAAAUACAAAAAUAAUCUGAUGUGUACCUGGAUCAUAAUAAACGUCAGACUGUUGAAAACUGAGAUAUUAUCAUUAAGAAAGAUUAACAAAUACUCACUCAAAUGUAAUAGA